rnacentral:lncRNA from 1 species
CACGGCCACAAUUAGUUUACAUAUUACAUAACUUUGAAAGACAUAAGUUCAAAUACAUACUUACAAAACCUACUACUUAUGACAGACCCACAUACCUAAUACAUGAGUUUGAAAGAAAAUAGUACCUCGAAAAGUAUACUUGGAAAAUGUACUACUAAAGGGAUUUAAGCCUGACCAUCAUUGACACCCCAACCCUCAUGCUAGACACAUCCUCACCUUCGAACUGCUCUUCCAUCAUAUUCUACAAAGCAAGCAUUUGGCACAACUCAACAUACUUAGCAAUCGCUUUGUCCACAUCCCAACUAACAUGUUUGCCUUUUUUGUAAUCAUUCAUAAUAAAGGCUCUAGUAGUUAUCUCAACUUCGAGCUAACAAUUCUUAAGACAAUCCUCUAAAGAAGCAAUCUGAGCCCCCCCAAGGAUUCAUUCAAAUUUGCAAGCUCCUUCUCCAAUGCAAGUAUUUUACUAAUUUCUCAGCAAACCUAGUAUUCAAAUUUUCGACUUCUCCACGUAACAAGGCAUUUGCAUCUUGCAGCGAGCGGACCUUCUAGCCUGUCUAAUGACUUCGUUCUCCUGAAAAAUAACACCUUGCAAUUCCUAAGUCAAUAAAACAAGUUAGGUUCAGUCAAUUGAGCUAUCCAUAAUGAAGUGUGCAAAAAUAUUAUGCCUAGAAAAUCUGAGCCAAGUCGUCACUUGACCAAGUUGCUCAUAACGUGUCUGGUCUUCAGGAAAUAGAAGACCUUUACCAAGUGCCACCACCCCUAGGUUAGAGAACGCAGAUCAAUUGAAAGGAAAAGUAAGCACGAUCAAAACAUCAUCUACCAAUGAUAGCCUUGGAUGACCGCUGAGGAGGAAGUAUCAGGCAGCUCGGUCUGACUAAAAAAAUUCCUUAGAUGGGACUAAAGUGUCAACUAUCCCCGUAAAAGAAUAAACCUUCUUAGUUCGCUCCUUCGCCCUUCUUCUCUUCAAAGCAUCAAGCAAAAAUCUUAUUACCCCUGAUAUGAUUCAAUAUGCAAUCUCACGACCAGCCGAAUUAAACGGACUUCACAAAGCUAGGUCAUUACCAGGAUUUUCAUAUCUCUCUUUGCCAUUAUUAUAGGGACUAUAUGUCUUGAAAAAUAAGGAAUACCUCUUGGUUCUACUGAAGUACGAUCCCCCAAGCUAAACGAAGAUAGGACCUCCAAAGAUAGGAGAAACUGACAAUUCUUCUAAUCUUUGGGUAUUACGAACAUCUUUGAAACACACUCCUUUAUUAUUAAGACUCUGGCAGGUUAUGGGUUGAUACAAUGACCUGCAAGAAAAAAUAUGUUGUGAGAAAAUAAUCUACGAAACUCACCUUGUGAUCACGUUGAAGGAAAACGAUAAUCCUCCGACCAAACCAAAUAGCCUAAGAGGAGGAAAUAAGACUCUUUUCCAGCCCUUAUCUCCAGAAGAAAGUCCAACUAUCAAUCGAUCGGUAUUUUUCUUUACAUUUAAGGAAAAUAGACAUUUCUCAACAUCUGCUCCCUUAUGAAAUAACUAUGCAACAAUUUUGACAUGCUAAAUGAGUUAUUGUACCACUCGACCAAGACUUGGAGGUUUAAGAGCAAUUGCAAAGAGUUGAGUAUGAGUUCACUAUUUGCAAUUUCAAAAUACUCCAACAUAUCUUAACUAUUUGAGGAAUCGAAAAUCGGAAGCCAUCUUUAAAUGGCAACUUAUAGGAAAAAUACAGCCUAUGACAUUCCAUGACUCUUUCAUGCAAUUGCGGUAGAUAAAGUUGAACGGAUGCUAGAAUAUCAUAGGCAUCCCCAAUUCUAAUCUAGUCAACCUCCGUCAGUUUGCUUGAUAUUUUCUUAGUAAACAUGAUAUCACUCGUGAUUUGAAGGCUCUAUUCAUAAAAACUAUGUCUAGGAUCGCCACCAUCAAGAUCUAGAUUAGCCAACCCACUAUCAAUGCACAUACUUUUCGAAUCAACUUCAUAAGAAGAACAAAUCCCAGGAUCACUAUAAACCCUACUAGUGUUGGCUCGUCCAAAUGAUCUAAGCUUGUAUAGUCAUUAGUCAAUAAUUUUCAUUCAAAUGUGUAGAUCUUCUUACACCUCCGAUUGGCCAAAUUACAGAUGGAAUUCCAUACGGGACAUCACAAAAAUCACUUAAAUCCAUUAUUUUAUAAAACCAACUAUUAACUAGUGGUUUCACACUAUCAUGGAUCAAAACUCCAUAAACAUAGAAUCGAAACAUAUGCGACUACCGAAUAACUUGGAAAGAUAUUUGAAAAACAUUCAAAAAAUAAAAUAAGAGCUUGGAAAAAGUCCCAGAAUUUCUAGAGCUGCUUCGAGUUAACCCGAGAAGCCAUAUGAGAAGUGAAGAAUGAAGCUUUUAAAUUGUAAAAUGGCAUGCUAAAUGAAGUGAUGAAAUGACUCCCUAAAUUUGUUCAAAGUC